rnacentral:rRNA from 1 species
AUCGACUAUGUUGAAUAAAAUUCUAGGUAGAAUUAUGAUAAUGACAUUGUCUGCCUAUGUGUCUUGACCAAAUUACGUGCCWGCWGUCGCGGUAAUACGUAGAAGACUAGUGUUAUUCAUGUUUAAUCGGUUUAAAGGGUACCUAGACGGUAGAUCAAGCUUUCUAAUAAAGGAAAAGGACUAAUUUACUAGAGUUACUUAUGAGGGGGUAUUAAAGUACUGCUGGUGUAGAGAUGAAAUUCUGUCAUACCUCUUUUCAAAAGAAAAACCAUGGCACAGGUAUAGGCGAAGGCAUCCCCUUAUGUGAUAACUGACGUUGAGGGACGAAGGCUUUGUGUAGCGAACAGGAUUAGAUACCCCAGUAGUCGAAGCAGAAAAUGAUGAAUGUCAUAGAUUAGAUAUAUAAGUUUAUUCUAUAAAUGAAAGUGUAAGCAUUCCACCUCAUGAGUAAUUUGGCAACAUUGGAACUGAAAUCAUUAGACCGUUUCUGAAACCAGUAGUGAAGUAUGUUGUUUAAUUUGAUGUUCCGCAAAAAACCUUACCACAAUUUGAAUAUUUAUAUUGUUUAUUGUUUUAUUAUUAAUUUUCUUGAACUUAAAAAAAAGUAAAAGAAAAUUAAGAAAGAAGCAAUAAGAUAUAAUUACAAGCGUUGCACGGCUGUCUUCAGUUAAUGUCGCGAGACUUUGGUUAGUUCCAUUAAAUUAACGUAAACCCUUACUUUAUUUUUAUAUAGAGUAGUUCCCCGCUAUAUUGGAUAUGAUAAC